GGAGAAAAGCAGGGGAUCGCAAGACCUUGCGCUUUUGGAGUGGCCGAUGCCUGAUUAACUAGUUGGUGGGGUAAUGGCCUACCAAGGCGACGAUCAGUAGUUGGUCUGAGAGGACGACCAGCCACACUGGGACUGAGACACGGCCCAGACUCCUACGGGAGGCAGCAGUGGGGAAUUUUGGACAAUGGGCGAAAGCCUGAUCCAGCAAUGCCGCGUGAGUGAAGAAGGCCUUCGGGUUGUAAAGCUCUUUCAGUCGAGAAGAAAAGGUUGUGACUAAUAAUCACAACUCAUGACGGUAUCGACAGAAGAAGCACCGGCUAACUACGUGCCAGCAGCCGCGGUAAUACGUAGGGUGCGAGCGUUAAUCGGAAUUACUGGGCGUAAAGGGUGCGCAGGCGGCUUUGUAAGUCAGAUGUGAAAUCCCCGGGCUUAACCUGGGAAUUGCGUUUGAAACUACAAAGCUAGA
rnacentral:rRNA from 1 species